UACGAAGGGGGCGAGCGUUGUUCGGAUUUACUGGGCGGAAAGGGCGCGCAGGCGGCUCAUUUUGUCAGGCGUGAAAGCCCCGGGCUUAACCUGGGAACUGCGUUUGAUACGGAUGGGCUAGAGUUCGGUAGGGGAGACUGGAAUUCCUGGUGUAGCGGUGAAAUGCGCAGAUAUCAGGAGGAACACCGAUGGCGAAGGCAGGUCUCUGGGCCGAUACUGACGCUGAGGAGCGAAAGCGUGGGGAGCGAACAGG
rnacentral:rRNA from 1 species